CUGACUGACUGUGUGUGUGUGAGCUGCUGCUCAUUGAGAUUGCUUGGUCGGGCCCGAGUUAUUUUAUAUUUGCCUGUUAAAUUUUUAUUUUGAGCAAAUUUGAGUCGUGACAUGUCAACAGAGAACAAAAACUAGAAUGUGAACACAGGAAGGGUCAGGUGUGAUCUGCGAGGUCCAGCAAACACACGGACAAAAUCAGAGUCAUCAAGGAUCCAGCUGUUUAUUGGCAAUUUGGACAGUACAGAAAGUGCACAAGUGUGAGAGAGAGGAGGAGACGGCAUCAGAAAGGACCUAGAGCUGGGACUCUUACAAGGAUCACCCAAAGCACAACCAUGCUAUAUGCACAAGGCAGUUGGUUCUAACAUUUUACCAGAAUUUAAAGAAACAUUUCUACUUAAAAUAUUAAAUGCAUUUCAUUCAAGGAUUUGGAUUUUACAGGUUUUUAACAAUACAUCCAAGCACAAACACUGCAAGCUAAUGUUUGGGAUUAUUUUCAUCAGUUUUAUACAGUAUGUUUCCAAAAUAAAACUGCUGUUUUACAAUUUUCAGCUUGUGGUAGUUUAUUGAAGUUGAUCGUAAAGCCAUUGCUGCCAGUUCUACAGGUUUUUAACAAUACA